CGCAGGAGGGAUGAUUGUGACGGUGGUGUGAGAAUAGAAGCUGAGGAGAGAGAUGGUAAUUAGGAGAGAGAGUGUGCAGCGUGUGUGCACCGAGUCCUGACUGACCUUAGGCUAAAGAAGGGAGAGAAAGAUUGAUAGUUUGAAAUGGGAAAGGAAAGAAAAAUCAAGACAGAAGCAUGAGAGAAAAGUAGAGGAAAGUGCAAUAGUGAUGGGUUGAGGGGGAGGGGUUAGGCUAAGAGAUGAGUCUGUCUGAGGAUAAAGUGAAUAUGGGAAGGAAAUUAACGGAGCAGUGAAAAAGCGGUUAGGUAUCGAAGGGGAAAGUUGGCAUUCAUUUCAUUGCAGCACAAAGCAGGAACACAAAGAGCAUGUGAAUGUGCUCGUGUGAAGAGGACACAGAAGAAUAGAAGGCACAGGAGAGGAGAAAAUGCAUCUUUUCUUCAGAUCACGGUGGAUGAAAACGACCCCCUCUGCUGCCACCACAUCACCCGCCAGAGCUUUAAAGCACUCUGUGUUUCUGACCUGCGAGCUUCUUCAUGACCCUCCACCUAUGAAACCAAACUUGUGCCCAUGGCUACAAGUGUCACUGGCUGCUCUUGCCACAGACUGGAGAUGCUGCUUUUCAUUCAGUCAGCUGUCAGUUCCUUGUGGCAAUGUUCACUGUUCUCUGUUUUCCUGCAGCGACUGGCCAAGUGCAGGCUCUCCACAAGAAUUUGGAAUCUGGGAACAUGGAUUUGCUUCCACUGAGCCAGAAGAGCACUGGUGAGGCUGGCGUAUCCUAGAGGCAUGAACAGAAGACUUCAAGGGGGAGACACGCAUUGCCUGCUAGGGAUGGGA